UGCUCAAAGAUCGUAAUUCAUAGUCUCCUGU
rnacentral:piRNA from 1 species